rnacentral:lncRNA from 1 species
UCAUGCCUUUAAUCAAUUCCUCAAGAGUAUCUUUGGAAAGAGUCUUAUAUGUCUCUUAAAUUAAAGUCGAUGUCACUAGACUUGAUAGAAUAAUUGACAUCAUAGGUGGUAGAGCUUCAAGCUUCAAAGUCCCUUCUCUUACUUAUAUUUUCUAUUACUUAGUCACCAAUAGCACUGUAUCCUCCACUCUCUUCAAAUCAUUAGUUAAACCUCUUUUAAUAGACUUAUCAAUCAAGAGCACAAAGAGCAUAUCUUCUAGUGCUUCAUUUGUUGCUUGCAAAAAGACCUUGGUCUUUCUUACACCUAAUAAAAAUCUCUCUAAAGAUGAAAAUUGAGAGAAUUUUUUUUCAAAUUCCCUAAGCAAUUUAUUAAGAGCCAUAGACCUCCCUGGUUGUUACUCAACUCACUCCAAAAAUAAUAUCUUGGUGACUCUAUUAGAAUCUUUGUAAUAAAAUUCAUCUUUCAACUUCUUUUUAAAAUCACUCUAUGCCUCUAAAUUGCCUCCAUGCAAAUUCUUCACUCUCUUCUUAAUUCGAAGAAUGUAUACUAACUCAAAAUUGUAAAUAUAGCCACUCUCAAGAACUUUAUGUACCUCUAUUUUUUCUACAUAUACUCAGAGAAAUUUAGUGAUGUCCCUCUUAUCAAACCUCUAAUGAUUAUUAACCAUACAUUGUAAUGCCUUGGUCACCUCUUUUUACUUUUUUGUACCUUUUUUUGUCUCUCCAAGAACAUACUCAAAGCUAAGAGCCAAUCAUUGGCACUUGUUCUUCCAUUCCUACUUGUACUGGCCUCUCCAAAAUUGUCCAUCAUCUUUGAAUGUCAAAAAACCUUUUACUUCCUCUUUUCUACUUUUGAAUUUUUUUUCAUGCUCUAAGCUUGCACCCUAUCUCUAUAACUCCAUUAU